rnacentral:rRNA from 1 species
GACGAACGCUGGCGGCGUGCUUAACACAUGCAAGUCGAACGGAAAGGCCCUGCUUUUGUGGGGUGCUCGAGUGGCGAACGGGUGAGUAACACGUGAGUAACCUGCCCUUGACUUUGGGAUAACUUCAGGAAACUGGGGCUAAUACCGGAUAGGAGCUCCUGCUGCAUGGUGGGGGUUGGAAAGUUUCGGCGGUUGGGGAUGGACUCGCGGCUUAUCAGCUUGUUGGUGGGGUAGUGGCUUACCAAGGCUUUGACGGGUAGCCGGCCUGAGAGGGUGACCGGCCAAAUUGGGAAUGGGAGACGGCCCAGACUCCUACGGGGGGAAGGAGUGGGGAAUUUUGCAAAAGGGGCGGAAGCCUGAUGGAGCAACGCCGGGUGCGGGAGGACGGCUUUGGGGUUGGAAACCGCUUUCGCCUGGGACGAAGGGGGGGUGAGGGAAAUGGGAAAAGAAGCACCGGUAAACUAGUU